UACGAGGGGGGCGAGCGUUGUUCGGAUUGACUGGGCGUAAAGGGCGUGUAGGCGGUCGGCCAAGUCUGAUGUGAAAGCCCGAGGCUCAGCCUCGGAAGUGCGUCGGAAACUAGUCGGCUGGAGCGCGAUAGAGGAGGGUGGAAUUCCUGGUGUAGCGGUGAAAUGCGUAGAUAUCAGGAGGAACACCGGCGGCGAAGGCGGCCCUCUGGAUCGUUGCUGACGCUGAUACGCGAAAGCGUGGGGAGCAAACAGG
rnacentral:rRNA from 1 species